AUGAAUGUGACGCCUAGGAAGGGCACUAGGAAGAGCCCCGGCGUCUCGCCCAACCCUCCCGCCCGGAGGGGACGGCCGCCGAAGAAGCAGAAAGAACUGCAGCUGAAGAAGCAGGAGGAGGCAGAGCGAGCGAAAGAGGAGGCGCCUGGGAAACAGGAGGAGAAUGAAGACGAGGAGGACUUCGACGCAAGCACAGAGCAGAAGAACGGAGAGAUGGCGAGCUCUGGACGCUCUCACAUGCCUCCUCUGCUGUCGUCUCUCUCCACGCUGGUGCUGUACCUCCGGCGGCAGCAGCACGCCUCGUUCCUGUCGCUGUCCCGCGCUCCUCCAUCCGCUGAGGCCUGGCGUCUGCUCUGCCACUCCAGCCUGGCUCUGCUGAUCCUCUACAACCGGCACCGCGAGUGUGAGGUGGCCAAGCUCACGGUGCAGGACUACCGCAGCCGCUCCUCCUGCGACGCCGCUCUGUCGCCGUUCGAGCGCGCCGUCCUCGGCCAGCUCCCGCGUGUUAGCGUGUUGGGCAAACGCGGACGCCUCCAGCCGCUCAUCCUUCCUCCGCACUCAGAGGCGUGUCUGGAUCUGCUCCUGAAGACGUCUGCAGACGUGGGUGUGGAUCCCCAGAGCCCCUAUGUGUUCUCCCGGCCGUAUCACUCCCCGGCCACGCCGCUGCGCGGGACAGACCUGCUGCGGAGCCUGGCGCGCUCUAGCGGUGCUAAGAACCCCGCGGCGCUCACCGCUCCCCGCGCACGCCGACAGGUGGCCAUCCUGACCCAGCUGCUGCUGCUGGAGGAGGGAGAGCGGGCCGCCAAACGCCUGGAGGACUUCCUGCAGAGCGAGUAUCACGUGUCUCAGAGCUGCGCUCGGAUUGGUCAGGACCCGGCGCUGAUGAACCGCGUGGGGAGAGUCGUUCUGUACGGAGAGAGAGAGGGAGUGCUGUUCAGAGGAAUGAGCCUGCAGCACAUCUGCCUCGAGCUGGACGGUACCGCAAAACACACACACCUCAUCAGAUAGACUAGGGAAAUAUUAUUACAGCUGUUAUCUGUGUGAAUAUCUGUUAAAGUGUAAUUUAUUUCUAGUCGAUGCACAGCUGUAUUUUCAACUAUCAUUACUCCAGUCGUGGUCAGGACCCGGCCGGCUGAUGAACCGACGUGGGGAGGAGUCGUUCUGUACGGAGAGAGAGAGGGAGUGCUGUUCAGAGGAAUGAGCCUGCAGCACAUCUGCCUCGAGCUGGACGGUACCGCAAAACACACACACCUCAUCAGAUAGACUGGGAAAUAUUAUUACAGCUGUUAUCUGUGUGAAUAUCUGUUAAAGUGUAAUUUAUUUCUGUGAUGCACAGCUGUAUUUUCAGCAUCAUUACUCCAGUCUUCAGUGUCACAUGAUCUUCAGAAAUCAUUCUAAUAUGAUGAUUUGCUGCUCAAGAAACAUUUCUGAUUAUUAUCAGUGUUGAACACAGUUGUGCUGCACAAUAUUUUUGUGGAAACUGUGAUGCAUUUUAUUUUUCAGGAUUCACAGAUGAAUAGAAAGUUCAAAAGAACAUAAUUGUUUUGAAAUCGAAAUCUACUGUAACAUUAUAAAUAUCUUUACUGUCACUUUUGAUCAGUUUAAUGUGUCCUUAAUAAAUAAAAGUAUGUUUUUUUUUAUAUAAAACUUUUCAAACUAUAUUCAAACUUUUGAAGGGUAGGUUUUCUUGAGCAGCGAAUCAUCAUAUUAGAAUGAUUUCUGAAGAUCAUGUGACACUGAAGACUGGAGUAAUGAUGCUGAAAAUACAGCUGCGCAUCACAGAAAUAAAUUACACUUUAACAGAGAUUCACACAGAAACAGCUGUUUUAAAUUAUAAUAUUUAGCUGUUUUACUGUAUUUUUAAUCAAAUUAACCAUAAAUUAAUAACAUGCAGCUUUUUGUUCUUAAUUAACAAAACAGCUGCAUUACAUUGUAUUACAUUUGUUUUACAAUAUCUAGAAGUAAAUUUAUGCUAAUAUGUGUAUACUUUGCAAUGGUAGAAAAGUGGUUUGCUAAAGGUUUUCCUGCCCUCUUGUUUAUAUCAUGUUACAAACAAUGUUUUAUUUCAUACCCAUGAGUGUAAUUAAUGUGCAGAUAUGAAAAUUAAACGAAUCAAGAUUGUUGAUAAGAACAUGAUAUUAAGGGCUGUGAUCUUGUCCAUUACUAUCAAGUUCUUCUGCAUCUUAACAUGAUUUGGGGGUUCGUUUUUAACAAAUCACUUUAGUAAAAGAGAUUGACCAUUUUAUUUAGCUUUUUGUUGUUGCGUUUAAUUGCAAAUAUGAAACUUUACAAUGAUUCCUACUAUAAAUGAAAACCAUUAGAGCGGCUCAAAAGGCCCAGCUGUGACGAGCGUGCACAUUAACAGAUGUGAAGUAUGCUAUCUCAGCACAGAGCUGUGUGUUGUGUUUGUGUCAGUGAUGUCGGGGAACUCUGCCGACUCGUUCUCUGAUGACUCUGAUGGAGAGGCCAGUAAGAGUCAAGACAGAGCCGGCGCUGGCAAGAAGAAAGGGUUGAGUACUCGAGCGCCGCGGCCGUGCAGAUAAUGAUGAAGGGAAAGGGAAUCACCGCCAUUUACAGGUGAUAUACUAGCAGGCUGGCAGCAGUAGCUAGAUAUGAUAGUCUAUCAAAAUAAUUAACUCCUUUUAAAACUUAACAACUUAGUUGAGCUCCCAGUAGUUAGUUAGCUAGCUUUUUAUAUUUUUCAGUUCACAUUUAUUUUAUAUCAGCUAAAAAUGUUUUAGGGGUUUUGGUUUAAGUGAACUGUAAUAAUGUGUGUGUGUGUGCGUGUGUGUGUGUGUGUGUCUCAGGGAAGCGCGGCGUGCUGAAGCGGCCGUGGUCGGAGGCGGAGCGGGUCGCCGUGGAGACGCACCUGAAGAGGAACAUCAUGGAGCUGCGUGUUCCUGCGAAAGCGGACUGUGAGCGGUGCCUGCAGCUCUGCCCUCUGCUGGUCAGCAACCAGCGCGACUGGAGGGCCAUCAAGUUCUACUGCCACAACCGCAUCCAGCUCCUGAAGAAACAGGGACGCAGAGACGGGAACACGGCCCCCGCGGUCUGCUAACCGCAGUAACACAUACACACAGAUGACAGAACAGUGUUGUGUUUUGUUUAAUAACUGUUCUUCAAAGCUAGCACACAGUGCAAUCGCACACACACUUCACACAUUCCCCCGUGUGUGUGUCUCUCGGAUCAUCUCUCUCAAACUAAGGAUCUGUUUCACACGCCGGUGUUCAGACUCAGAGAAUGAAGCAGGUUUGGAGACGCUACAGCGUGACUCUCUAGCUAGCAACACAGUGCAAUCGCACACACACUUCACACAUUCCCCCCGUGUGUGUGUCUCUCGGAUCAUCUCUCUCAAAACUAGGAUCUGUUUCACACGCCGGUGUCAGACUCAGAGAAUGAAGCAGGUUUGGAGACGCUACAGCGUGACUCUCUAUGGACUGUUUUAUGCGACUGGCGUCAGUCAUGUGAAGUUUGGCUGUGAUGGAUCCGGGCUGGUUUUUCUGGAGGUUUGGUGGAUUAUUUGACCUUCUCAGACCUCGAGGUCAGUCUUGGAGAUUCUGUCCGGCAGACCUCAGUCUGCACUACUGGAGAUCAAUCUCACAAACAACACGUCCAGGUCAUUAUUCACACUCAGAUCAACAGAAAAUACAGGAAAUCAUAUUUUGCAUAAAGAAAAUGUUGCCUGGUUUUUAUUAACCUCUUUGCGGUAUCAAUAUAUAUAUAUAUAUAUAUAUAUUAUUUUUAUUUUUUUUUUUUAUUAUGUUAAUGAGGAAGCAUAACCCCCUAUAAGUAAUAAAUAAGGUAACAUUAUUCUAAUAUGAUUAUUUCUUUUAUUGCCAUAUGUAAGAGUUAUCUGUAUAAAUUAUAAAACACUAUGACAAGGUAAUGUUUAACUUAUAAAUAUUUAUUUAUUUAUUACAUGUUAUAUUAUCUCACACAUGGAUUUUCUAUAAUAUCUAAAUUCUAAAUCAAAAUACAUAUCUGAUAUGACUUAAUAUAUAAUUAGCAUAAAACAAAAAUAUAAUUCACAUUCUCAAGGAUUAAAGAUUACAUGGAAAAAAAUCACGGUCAUCAAUUAGGUGGUGAUAUGCACUAAGCAUGUAAACAACUAAUGAACAAAAGAAGAAUCGUCGAUUCGUCGCUCUGUUGAGAAUGUCUUGAGUCUUAACCAGGAACAUACUCUGAGUUGAAUGAACUUACUCCCGGAUGCGUUUUUGGAACCACAUACCUCGAGUAAGCAAUGUUUGGGGUUAAUCAACCGAGAGUUCAGGGUUUAGUUCACGGUAAGUUAACCCUGCUUUCUGGAAUAUGCCCCUGGAGAGCAACAGUCCUGCAAAGUUUGUCUCCAAACCUAAUCAAACACACCUGAACAAGCUAAUCAAGGUCUAAUGCUGUGUUCCAUUUGAACUUGGAAGCUGGAACCUUUGAGUUCCCAGUAGGAACUUUGAAGGCUAUGCCGGCACUAAGUGUGUUUUCAUUUUAAAACUCAUAACUUUUUCUAUGGUUACACCUGCCAUUUACACUACUCUGGCAUUUUUGACCCUCGAAAACAGAGACUUUUAAAAAUGCUGCAGACCAUGUUUUAGGUAGAAAACUCUAGGGUUGCAUUUCAGUGUAAACAGAGCAAAACGGAGACUUUUGAAAACGUUGGCUUGGCUGCCCACAUUCACUCUCCUUAUCCUUGAUGACUGCGUAAAUAACAUCAUGGUCAUUGUUGUACCCAUAGAUAUGUAUAGGUAGCUGCCCCAUUCGACCACUCCAAGCAUGUAGACGCGUCCACCAUCUAAAUAAUAGGGCCUCUACCUAUAUAUCUAUGAUUGUACCUGCAUGAAUGGUUAGGACAUGCAUUUUCUGUUGUGAAGUGUGGACAGAGAUUGUUUCUGAAACACACUGAAACCCCCUUUUAAAACGCGGUUUUAAAACGAAAACGCA
rnacentral:lncRNA from 1 species